UUGUAUUAGUUUGUAUAUGCUAAUAAUUAUAGAAUCAGCUAGUACUUUUUGAUCUGUGAACAGAUUUCAAAGAUUACCAGUUUCAAAGUCAUUAUUUGCAAUAUAUAUUUUUUAUUACAAAUUUUGAAUUUUAGCUACAUUUACGUGUUCAACGAAUGUUCCUUCUACAUCUGCUAUUUGUGUUACAUCUUCUGCGGCUUCUAUGACUCUUCCAGGUAUUCAACCUUCUGCUGAGCUAACCUACCAAGACUACCUAUUAUAUAGGUCCCAGCAUCCUGGACCCACCAGCAAUAGUUCAUUUAAGCGAUGAGUCCAGUUAGGAGGAAUUUAGUUUCCUUCUUGGAAUUUUAAACAAUAUCAUUUACUAAAAGCCAAGACUUAAAUUUAUUAUAUUUUGUAUUUUGAAACUUUUUAAAAUAUAAGUUUUAAAAUUAGUUUUAUCUUUGGCCUAUUUUUAGGGUGGAUACUCCAACUUGCAUUUUGUAAUGUGGUAAGAUUAGAAAAGUUAUGUCUCUUUAAAUGAACAUAAUUUAAAAACAUUUACAAAAUUUUUAUUGACAUUUUUUGCAAGUUUGAAUGAGAAGGGGAGGGGGGCGUUGGGUGUAGCACACAUUCCUAACUGUACUAACAUAUUAUAAUAAUCUUGAAUACUUGUUUCUCUUUUCCAAUAAACUUAAUUUAAAACUAUUUUUCAAAUAUCUUUUAAAAUUUUUUUUUAGGUUGGAUACAACUGGGCAGGAAGGGGGGCGUUUGACGUGGCACAUGUCCCGUCCCUUAUGUCAACUUAUACACCACUUGUAUAUGCUGUAAAGUAAGAAAAUUUAAUUUAAAAUUUUUCAUACAAAAUAUAAUCAUUGUUUUUUAGGUUCAAAUAUUUAUAACAAUGUAGCAUUUCACUGCGAGGGUGUUAAAACGUAACAAAGACAUCAACACUUCAAUCUAAAAUAGACCACUAAUAUUUGGAAAUGGAUUGGAAGCAAAUUGGAACAAUUUUUUGUAUAAAGAUGACAUAUUUUAUC